UCAGAGGUGGCUCAAGAGAUAGAGCUCUAGACUUAUAAUCAGGAAGAUCUGAGUUAGAAUCCAGUGUCUGAA
rnacentral:tRNA from 1 species